rnacentral:rRNA from 1 species
AUUGAACGCUGGCGGCAGGCCUAACACAUGCAAGUCGAACGAGUGGCGGACGGGUGAGUAAUGUAUGGGGAUCUGCCCGAUGGAGGGGGAUAACUACUGGAAACGGUAGCUAAUACCGCAUACCAUCAGAUGAACCCAUAUGGGUUUAGCUAGUAGGUGGGGUAAAGGCUCACCAAGGCGACGAUCCCUAGCUGGUCUGAGAGGAUGAUCAGCCACACUGGAACUGAGACACGGCCCAGACUCCUACGGGAGGCAGCAGUGGGGAAUAUUGCACAAUGGGCGCAAGCCUGAUGCAGCCAUGCCACGUGUAGGAAGAAGGCCUGAGGGUUGUAAAGUACUUUCAGCGGGGAGGCGUUACCCGCAGAAGAAGCACCGGCUAACUCCGUGCCAGCAGCCGCGGUAAUAC